rnacentral:rRNA from 1 species
GACGAACGCUGGCGGCGUGCUUAACACAUGCAAGUCGAACGAAGUGGCGAACGGGUGAGUAACGCGUAAUCAACCUGCCCUUCAGAGGGGGACAACAGUUGGAAACGACUGCUAAUACCGCAUACUGAAGGAGGGGAUUGCGUCUGAUUAGCUAGUUGGAGGGGUAACGGCCCACCAAGGCGAUGAUCAGUAGCCGGUCGGAGAGGGUGACCGGCCACAUUGGGACUGAGUGACGGUCCAGACUCCUACGGGAGGCAGCAGUGGGGGAUAUUGCACAAUGGGCGAAAGCCUGAUGCAGCGACGCCGCGUGGGGGAUGAAGGCUUUCGGGUUGUACAGCUCUGUUAAUCGGGACGCGGUACCGGAAUAGAAAGCCACGGCUAACUACGUGCCAGCAGCCGCGGUAAUUC